rnacentral:snRNA from 1 species
CCGGCUCCGCAAAGCAUCGAG